rnacentral:lncRNA from 1 species
AUACUGGACCACUGGCAUUGCUUCUAUUUUGGUGAAGAUUUCCAAUAGCCUGGCAUAUGGAUGGGUGCAUUCAUAAAAAAAGCAAAAUAAACUCCCUGGUGGAUGGCUUUCAACUUGUCUUCGCAGAUGGAAUUCAAGAGGCCAAGAUUAAAUAUUUGCAGUGGUUAAGGUUUCCCAACUUUUGCAAGUGUUGGAGAUGGAGAUGUAUAUUCAUGAUAAAACAACAAAACUUCAGUACAAAAUGCUGCAACCAUCUCAACAACAAGAGGCUGAAUAUACAUGUAAAGAAGAAUGAAAGCAGGCAAGCAAAAGGGAGACAACUUCUCAAGCAUCAAUUUCUUCACUUCCUUUUAAGGGAUGUAGACAUAUUUGGGACAACUGCUUCCAGCAUUAAACACAUCCAGUGAAUCCAAAGUUUUCAUUCUUUUCUUUGUAAUUUUAUCAUUUCAGCUGGCUUGUCUAGCUCUAGUUUGCGCUAACUUUGCUG